AAGAUUUAAGAUAAUAAUAAUAUAAGAUUUGUAUGGAGUUGGAACGUUUGCCUACGUUUGCCGCUAGGGGCGCUAGUCCAACUGCAUACAAGUUUGAGUUAACUUUUACGCUAUCGA
rnacentral:pre_miRNA from 9 species